CUUUUAAUAUUCCUCUGAUAUACAAAUCUUCUGAAAACUUUAAUAUUAUCAAGGUUUAUAAACGACUUAAUAUUAGAAUUGAGACUCUCUUCAGGUAUUUUAAUACUACAGUAGCAAUUAAUACACAGUACAUUGUAAUUGUUUUUGUUCUUGAAAAUUGCCCUUUCCACGCGCUCUUUCAACCAUUAGAAACAUAAUAGCGUUAAACGGCUAAAUUAUGCUGGAGGAACCACAAAUGUCUCUAC